rnacentral:rRNA from 1 species
UAAUACGGAGGGUGCAAGCGUUAUCCGGAUUUAUUGGGUUUAAAGGGUGCGUAGGCGGAAUAAUAAGUCAGUGGUGAAAUCCUGCGGCUCAACCGUAGAACUGCCAUUGAUACUGUUAUUCUUGAAUAUAGUUGAGGUAGGCGGAAUGUGUAAUGUAGCGGUGAAAUGCUUAGAUAUUACACAGAACACCGAUUGCGAAGGCAGCUUGCUAAACUAUUAUUGACGCUGAUGCACGAAAGCGUGGGGAGCGAACAGGAUUAGAUACCCUGGUAGUCCACGCCGUAAACGAUGAUCACUCGUUGUUUGUAAUAUACAAUAAGCGACUGAGCGAAAGCAUUAAGUGAUCCACCUGGGGAGUACGUUCGCAAGAAUG